GCAAUACACGAAAGUGUGACAGGGCUAUCCCGAGUGCCAUCCGCUGAGGAAGGCUUUUACCCAGCUUAGAACGCUGGGAGAAUAAGGAGAGGGCAAGACUGGUGUCAGCCGCCGCGGUAAUACCAGCCCCCUGAGUGGUAAGGACGAUUAUUUGGCUUAAAGCGUCCGUAGCCGGCUUAGUGAGUCUUUUGUUAAAUCCAAUGAUUCAAUCAUUGAACUGCAAGAGAUACUGCUACGCUAGAGGACGGGAGAGGUCGACGGCAGUCCAGGGGUAGGGGUGAAAUCCUAUAAUCCUUGGAGGACCACCAGUGGCGAAGGCGGUCGACUAGAACGUGCCUGACGGUGAGGGACGAAAGCUGGGGGAGCGAACCGGACUAGAUACCCGGGUAGUCCCAGCCGUAAACGAUGUUCGCUAGGUGUCAGGGACGGUGCGACCGUUUCUGGUGCCGUAGGGAAGCCGUGAAGCGAACCACCUGGGAAGUACGGCCGCAAGGCUGAAACUUAA
rnacentral:rRNA from 1 species